rnacentral:lncRNA from 1 species
GGCGAGCUGGGCGGGGCGCACGGCGCGCCGGGAAUUUGAGGACGCUCUGGCAGCUGGUCGGGCGGCUGAGUUCGCUUGGGUUUAUCUUCAAGGAAGUCAGAACAUCUGGAAGGCCAUCGAUGUCUUCAACUUCAAGCUCCUCAAAGUUAUCAAUCUCAUCACCAAAUGGUAUUUAAUAGACACCAUUAUAUCACUGACACUUCAGCUUCUGAUACGGGAGCAAAGGGAAUUGGAGUGGAUAUACAGCAAUCUAUCCAGCAAAGCUGCAGUUGUAUAAACAUGAUGUAACACAGGCAAAAAAAAAAAUCUUUGGAUUGAUAAGGCAUGAAAAAAGGAUGAUCAUAGUGAGGAAUGUGAGAAAGAAUACAGAACUGGGAACGGAGAUAUUUGGGAACAGAUAUUGCCUACCAUGCCGCAGACAGAAGGCUGAAGCUUUUCACCUAUAGUUCUCAUUCAGUCCUCCAAACAAAUCUGCAAAGUUGAUGGCAACUCCAUAAAGAUUAAAAAACAACAGCAAACUUAACCUCACAGAAU